rnacentral:rRNA from 1 species
AACCCCUUAUCCCUUUUGUUUGGCCCAGCCGGGUCCGGCCCGGGGAAACUCAAAGGAGACUGCCAGUGAUAAACUGGAGGAAGGUGGGGAUGACGUCAAGUCAUCAUGGCCCUUACGACCAGGGCUACACACGUGCUACAAUGGCGCAUACAAAGAGAAGCGACCUCGCGAGAGCAAGCGGACCUCAUAAAGUGCGUCGUAGUCCGGAUUGGAGUCUGCAACUCGACUCCAUGAAGUCGGAAUCGCUAGUAAUCGUGGAUCAGAAUGCCACGGUGAAUACGUUCCCGGGCCUU